AAAAGAAAUUAGGUAUUCAAAAGUUGUAAUAAUGUUUAUUCGCAGCUAGAUGAAAUGGGAAAAAGAAAGGAGUUUCUAUUCGUAUGUGUCACAUUCGUCGCAUGUGACGAGAUGGGAGGCAAGAUAAUAAAGGUAAGUAAGGCCCGUCGGCUUGUAAACGACUAAAGUGAUAAUUACAAUUGAAAGAAUAAGCUUAAUACGCUUCAAUCUCGCAACGAUAUAUACAUACGGUAAUUUUACCAAAAAUAACCUACGUAUUUUUAAGAAGUGGAGACCCUUUCGCCACAAACCGCAUCCUUAAAGCUAAGUUGAAAGAGCGCCUCGGGAUCCUCCGAUCCGCCGGAUUCAAAGAUGUGAGAACUAAGCGUUAUUCCAUGGAGCUAGUCAGGCUCUGAAUUGUGGACACGCGGAAAACGCUGAACCUAGAUGAAUCAUAUCGAACCCAUGAUAGUGCGACGGUCCAAUCACACCAACAAACCUAUUUCCCUUCCUAUUUGCGCCUAAAUUGCAACUAAAGACAUGCCGCACAUGAAAAUGUUUACAAGGCCAUAUGCAUGAACAUCUUUAGGGACGGUGGUGAAUAGCAGGCGGCUGAUGGAAGAUGGCAAACAGAGGAGCCAAAGCUGGUCGCGUUGAACGUUAACCAAUCUCGUGCGGAAAUGGACGAAAUGGACGGUCAGACACUCGGAGGCGAUUGAGUCUUUGAAGUCGCGGCUGGCAGAGGAUCCAGUGCUGCCAUGCCCAGAUUUUUCGCGGAGAUUCGUGCUGCAAACAGACGCUAGGAGGACGGCGAACGAGUAACCCAUGCCAGUAGGACUUUUAUGGGGACGGAAAAAAACCACUCGGUGACUGAGAAGAAGUGCCUCCCAAUAAUAUGAGCAAUUAGGGAAAUGAGACUCUACCAGGAAAGGUAUCAAUUUGACGUAAUUACGACCAUUGCGCUAAAAUGGCUGAACAUCAUAUCCGCGCUAAAAUGGUUUUUGAACUGCAAGGUACUGCAUAUCCUGCCAGGCGUAUGCUUGGGUGGUAUGUCAAUUGGUGACCACAACGGAACAGGUUUCGGCCAUAGCGUAAGGACGAGCUCAGAGCAACCAGAGCCCAGAGCAACCACCGACGCACAGCGAACGGCGACGAGGCUACAGAGACGUGUAAGGGGACGAAUUAAAGUUCACUACUAAACAUAAACAAAAAAGACCAAUUCUAAUAACGUAAACAAACUUUAGUCGAUAGUUAGUAGUCGAUAAACAUUAGUCGAAUAAAAUAAGUCGAUAACAGAUCGCUGUUACAGCCAUUUAAAUCUGUUAAGGCGAACUAUCUGGCAACUCCAUAUUCUGACAACCGAAUACCCGCUCAAUCCAAUUGUUCUUUUGCGAUCAAAACUCAGAAGUGAACAGUUGUCUAUAUCACAAUAAUACAGUGAAUAAUAUCACCAAACGUGGAAAUUGUUCUAGUACCCAAUACGGUACACGAGGGGACUUAGAGUAGCAGCAACGGAGCAUUGGCCGUGAAUGUGCACAGCCGUUUGCAUCUGCACGUGUGUUUGUGGUUGUGGCGGAAAAACCUCCAGGUAGAGCUCAAACCCCACAAUCGUUUGCGUAGUGCCCAACAAAAGACUACGACAAACAACGUAUCCCGUUUCGACACAGAGGUAUACGGCGGAGCCACCGCGUGUAUCAUCGGCCAGGCAUCCAGGAAAAGCUUUCCUUGAUCAGCCCCUAAACGUGCGCGAAACCGGCCCAGACUCGAACCACGAUAGGCGAGGUCUGAGGCCGGCGACGUGUGCGUGAUUGGGGCCGCAGUGGAUCAGGAGCGGUGCUGGAACCUGGCCAACCUGGAGCGUGAAGGUGAACAUAACCUCACUUUCUGGCGCAGAACCUCAUGUUCAUAUAAACCGACCUCGACCAUGUGAUGGGCUAGCUCGACGAUCGCGGCGGCAAACAUCUCGUCCAUAGUGACGAUUAAACAACAACAACAACAACCAGGAGAGAAGCGCGACAAGCUGUGCCAGGAUUAGCGUAUUAUUAUUAAGUAGAAUUUAACUCCUUUUUUUUAUUUUUGUAAAUUAUAUUGGAUCGAACCAAGACUCAUCCUAUUUUCCCAUCAGGAAGGAUAUAAAGAUGGGCCCUCAACAACACGACUACAACCCCACGCGCAAGCAAUGGUGGGUCACCCAGGAAUACAGAAAACGGAACACUGAGUUGUGGCAGUAUUUCUUAAAGGUGAUUCAUAACGAUAUCAGAAAGCUUAUCAGGAUAUGUGAGUGCUUCUAUUAGUAAUAUUAGUACAAGAUAUUACAAAACCAUCAGCAGUAAAAAUGAUAACAAGCGAUCGUCUAUUCCAUCAAAACUUUAUUUAACUUUUCAAGGUGUAGAUUUCCCAACAACAUUUUUUGUAUGCAUACUUUUAUAUGUAGUAGCGAAGCAGAAAUAAGUAUUUAUUACCUUAGUCCUGUGGACUCAUUUAAAACUACCCAUCAAAACCCCAAUUCGGGUAAGAUGUCAAGUUUAUGUGUGUCGUAGGUAUCCAUACGUUUCCCAAUUUACUAUGCCCAUAAUUCAUUAAGAUUUUUUAAUGACUCUCUUUAAAUCAUUUAAAAAGAAAUAAAAAGAAAAGAAAUUAGGUAUUCAAAAGUUGUAAUAAUGUUUAUUCGCAGCUAGAUGAAAUGGGAAAAAGAAAGGAGUUUCUAUUCGUAUGUGUCACAUUCGUCGCAUGUGACGAGAUGGGAGGCAAGAUAAUAAAGAAGUGGAGACCCUUUCGCCACAAACCGCAUCCUUAAAGCUAAGUUGAAAGAGCGCCUCGGGAUCCUCCGAUCCGCCGGAUUCAAAGCUGUGAGAACUAAGCGUUAUUCCAUGGAGCUAGUCAGGCUCUGAAUUGUGGACACGCGGAAAACGCUGAACCUAGAUGAAUCAUAUCGAACCCAUGAUAGUGCGACGGUCCAAUCACACCAACAAACCUAUUUCCCUUCAUUUGCGCCUAAAUUGCAACUAAAGACAUGCCGCACAUGAAAAUGUUUACAAGGCCAUAUGCAUGAACAUCUUUAGGGACGGUGGUGAAUAGCAGGCGGCUGAUGGAAGAUGGCAAACAGAGGAGCCAAAGCUGGUCGCGUUGAACGUUAACCAAUCUCGUGCGGAAAUGGACGAAAUGGACGGUCAGACACUCGGAGGCGAUUGAGUCUUUGAAGUCGCGGCUGGCAGAGGAUCCAGUGCUGCCAUGCCCAGAUUUUUCGCGGAGAUUCGUGCUGCAAACAGACGCUAGGAGGACGGCGAACGAGUAACCCAUGCCAGUAGGACUUUUAUGGGGACGGAAAAAAACCACUCGGUGACUGAGAAGAAGUGCCUCCCAAUAAUAUGAGCAAUUAGGGAAAUGAGACCCUACCAGGAAAGGUAUCAAUUUGACGUAAUUACGACCAUUGCGCUAAAAUGGCUGAACAUCAUAUCCGCGCUAAAAUGGUUUUUGAACUGCAAGGUACUGCAUAUCCUGCCAGGCGUAUGCUUGGGUGGUAUGUCAAUUGGUGACCACAACGGAACAGGUUUCGGCCAUAGCGUAAGGACGAGCUCAGAGCAACCAGAGCCCAGAGCAACCACCGACGCACAGCGAACGGCGACGAGGCUACAGAGACGUGUAAGGGGACGAAUUAAAGUUCACUACUAAACAUAAACAAAAAAGACCAAUUCUAAUAACGUAAACAAACUUUAGUCGAUAGUUAGUAGUCGAUAAACAUUAGUCGAAUAAAAUAAGUCGAUAACAGAUCGCUGUUACAGCCAUUUAAAUCUGUUAAGGCGAACUAUCUGGCAACUCCAUAUUCUGACAACCGAAUACCCGCUCAAUCCAAUUGUUCUUUUGCGAUCAAAACUCAGAAGUGAACAGUUGUCUAUAUCACAAUAAUACAGUGAAUAAU